rnacentral:lncRNA from 1 species
UCCCUAUGUUGCCCAGCCUGGUUUAAAUUCCUGGGCUCAAGUGAUCCUCUCACCUUGGCCUCCUAAAGUGCUGCAAUUACAGGUGUGAGCCACCAAGCCAGCCUCAUGCAUUCUUUAUAUACUCUGCAAUACAAACAGGUGAUGUCCUCAAUUCCCCCUGUGUAUGGGCUAAGCCUUCCAGGGUCAGGCCUCAUACUUCUCUGUCUGGAAUCUAAAUCCUGCUGUGGUCCUGGAGGCAACGUGGGUGGUGGAGCUUGGAGAGAAAGAUUCCUCAGGAAAAUUAGUGUUGCCUUGUGAAGUAAUUGCCUCAUUUAAGUUACUAAAAUAUUUCAUGCAGGGGAAGGCAGGUCCUACCAGAUAAGGGUGGAAAUGAGAGGUUCAGAGGGAUUUGUAGAUUCAGAGUUCCCAGGCUCUUCUGAUUUAUCUGCCAAAUGUCCCCAUCUCAUGCCAGGGGAUUCCACUCCUUUCCACCAAUGUCUUUACCUUGACAGAAGACACCUGGCAAGUUUUGAUGUUUAAUUGCCACUGUGACUUUGCUCAGCCAUAUCUACCCAGCAACUACAGGGACGAAAAGUGUGUUCAAAGGUGUCAUGAAGCCUUUUUGGUUUUUCACCCAGGUACUAAGCUGGAAGGGGAAGGCCUUCAAUGUGUCCUUCUCCCUGUAGACUCUAUGGCUGUCGGAGGCAGUGCCGUCCAAUCCCACAGCUUCAGAAUCACUAUUGUCAUUACAGCCCCACAGCUCCUUGACUGCUGCCUGUUUUAUGCCACCACAGGUUUUCUGUCCCCACAUUUACUCAUCAUCUGAGAAGAAGGCAGUUCUCUUGGGUCUUCUUGCUCUGUUGCCCAGGCUGGAGUGCAGUGACACAAUCAUAGCUCACUGCAGCCUUGAACUCCUGCGCUCAAGCAAUCCUCUGUCCUCAGCCUCCUGAGUAGUUAGGACCACAAGCACAUGC